rnacentral:miRNA from 1 species
ACAGGCACCACAGGUUUGAGCA